rnacentral:lncRNA from 1 species
AAGAAUGUCACCCUCAACCCGAAUAGAUAUAAAUCGUAAGCUAUCGAUUUGAAAACCAUUACCGCGUUUUUGGCUAUUCUGCCGUGAUAGCAAAGAGAGUAGUAAUUGCAAACUUGGAUGAACCAUGAGACACAUUAAAGCAUGUACUAAUCAUGGGUCAUACAGGAAUGCGCUUACUUUUCUCUUCGCUAUCACUGUAGUGUACUACUGUAUGUACUACGGCACGUGACUUGUCAAAUCGAGAACUAUCAUUCCAACUAGUUACGUAUGUCCCACUAAUUACUGUACGACACGCGACCUUCAUGAUGUCGUAGAGAAGGGGUCGAAAACGGUAAUUGAUUUAGAAAGUAAAAAAAACUAUGAAAAGGAUGAUGUUAGAUCGAUUGACGAGUUAGUUUCGUUGGUGUUGACUUGCAGCAAUUGCGGUGUUAGUGUUCGCUUGCAGCAAAUACAGUGUUCGUGCAGUGAUUUUUCUGAUCAUAACGGAAAAAAGCAAGGAAAAAAAACCAAAUCAUUCCCUCCCAUUCCUCCCCGCACAGAAUCGACCUCGAUGAAAAAUCAAAGAUGGGCGACUCCAACAAUGACCUCUGGCCUGAGCAUGUUUUAACGGAAGAAGAAAUUGAAGAGGUUUUCCGGCAGAUUGACAGCGCAGCCGUUGACUUAUGACCACCACAUGAAAUUUUGACGGAUGAAGACCUGCAUCAACUGUUUGCGCAGAUUGACGUCGUCAACAAUGACCCAGGGGUGCCAUGUGAACUUUUGAAUCUGCAGCAGCAGCAAAGCGCAGAAGUAAGUAUGGGUUGGUUAACGUUUCUUUUCUCUCUUUCUUUUUUAUCACGAUUAAAAAUUUACAUUAUUCUGUUUGUAACAAACAUUGUAAUCAAACGGCAAUGGUUUAAAUGGUCAUCGUUUCUGAGACACAGUUUUAAUAUGUAUGAAUACAAGUAACUUACCGGAGAACUGUAUUUUAGUUUAUUAUGAUGGUUGCCUGCUUCAUUUAUGAAGGCAUUUCAUGCAGAGGCGUGGCGUGAAUUGCGAUAUAUAGAUUGUUAUGCGAUUUUAACCUGCGGCAAAGAAUCGAUUACUGAACACCCUGUUUAUCGAUAAUUUUCCAUAGGUUUAAAUGGUCGAUCAAUCUAUAUAUCGCAAAGCACGCCGCGCCACUAAUUUCGUGCCUAUAUCGUGCUUAAUAACUUAAUGAUUCAUCCUCGAAAUUAAAAAUAGAGAGUAAAAAAAAUACUAGAGGAAAUAAUAAAUAAAAUAAUGAAAUUAAUAAAAUAAAAAAAGAAAUUAUACGAAAAAAAAUAUAAAAAAGAGGAACAAACACUUUAAGGGGUGUUUUCGUACUUGCGGGACCCCCGCGUCGACGCUCGACGCCGCCGUACACACCGGCUCGGAGGUGUGCUUGCCACCCCAUGCCAACGCUUGCCAACCC